rnacentral:rRNA from 1 species
UCCGCACUAGUGAUUGUAGUCAUAUGCUUGUCUCAAAGAUUAAGCCAUGCAUGUCUAAGUACAAGCCUCACUAAGGUGAAACCGCGAAUGGCUCAUUAAAUC